rnacentral:rRNA from 1 species
GGUAACAUUUCUAGCUUGCUAGAAGAUGACGAGCGGCGGACGGGUGAGUAACGCGUAGAAAUCUACCUAGUAGUGGGGGAUAGCCCAGAGAAAUUUGGAUUAAUACCGCAUACGCCCUACGGGGGAAAGCGGGGGAUCUUCGGACCUCGUGCUAUUAGAUGAGUCUGCGUCGGAUUAGCUUGUUGGUGAGGUAAUGGCUCACCAAGGCGACGAUCCGUAGCUGGUCUGAGAGGAUGACCAGCCACACUGGAACUGAGACACGGUCCAGACUCCGUACGGGAGGCAGCAGGUGGGGAAUAUUGCACAAUGGGCGCAAGCCUGAUGCAGCCAUGCCGCGUGUGUGAAGAAGGCCGUUAGGGUUAGUAAAGCUACUUUCAGCAGUGAAGGAAAGGGGUGUCGUUAAUAGCGCCAUCCUGUGACGUUAACUGCAGAAGAAGGACCGGCUAACUCCGUG